UACGAAGGGGGCUAGCGUUGCUCGGAAUUACUGGGCGUAAAGGGCGCGUAGGCGGAUAGUUUAGUCAGAGGUAAAAGCCCAGGGCUCAACCUUGGAACUGCCUUUGAUACUGGCUAUCUUGAGUACGGGAGAGGUGUGUGGAACUCCGAGUGUAGAGGUGAAAUUCGUAGAUAUUCGGAAGAACACCAGUGGCGAAGGCGACACACUGGCCCGUUACUGACGCUGAGGCGCGAAAGCG
rnacentral:rRNA from 1 species